rnacentral:lncRNA from 10 species
AUGAAAACUCAGAUGUGGGAGGAGCUGGGACGUUCGCUGCAGAGCCUCUGUAGCAGCUUGAGUCUCGCGCGCGCGGGAAGCGGAGGUGGAAGUCGGCGCGCAAGAAUGUGCCUGUCCUCGCCUGUACAUCAUGGCUGGGGAGGAGGCGCGGAGGCACCAGGCUGGGGUCUGCAGCGCGCCAUCUGCUGCAGCCCACAGGAGGCGCUGAGACUAGUUGGUUUGAAGUACUUGAAGAAUUGGAAGAACCAGUCGCCGAGUGUGGAAAAUUGUUCUCAGAUCUUCCCCCUUCCCUGUACACACACCGGUUGCCUGGACGCAGAAACCCGCCCCGCUUUCCUCCAGACCUCACCGCCCGAAAGACCCUCCAAGACCCCCUCGAGGCGCCCGCAGUGCUCCUUAAUUCGCAGCUCCACAGAAUGAGACCAGCGUGGCAGCUCCCCUUCAGGACAGCUCCCGUGAGAGGUGGCAAAUGAAUCGUAUUAUAACCACUCGGAACCACUGUGUUUCUGGUUCGUCUUGUGAAACCCAUCGUUGGUUCAGAGGGAUGGAGGCAGAGGUCAUACAGCAG